UACAGAGGGGGCAAGCGUUGUUCGGAAUUACUGGGCGUAAAGGGCGCGUAGGCGGCCCGCUAAGUCGAACGUGAAAUCCCCGAGCUCAACUCGGGAACUGCGUCCGAUACUGGCGGGCUUGAAUCCGGGAGAGGGAUGCGGAAUUCCAGGUGUAGCGGUGAAAUGCGUAGAUAUCUGGAGGAACACCGGUGGCGAAGGCGGCAUCCUGGACCGGCAUUGACGCUGAGGCGCGAAAGCUAGGGAGCAAACGGG
rnacentral:rRNA from 1 species